CCCGUUCCCAUCCCGAACACGGAAGUUAAGCUUUUCAGCGCCGAUGGUAGUAGGGGGCUUCCCCCUGUGAGAGUAGGUCGUCGCCGGGC
rnacentral:rRNA from 1 species